rnacentral:rRNA from 1 species
CAGUAGCCGCGGUAAUACGUAGGUGGCAAGCGUUAUCCGGAAUUAUUGGGCGUAAAGCGCGCGUAGGCGGUUUUUUAAGUCUGAUGUGAAAGCCCACGGCUCAACCGUGGAGGGUCAUUGGAAACUGGAAAACUUGAGUGCAGAAGAGGAAAGUGGAAUUCCAUGUGUAGCGGUGAAAUGCGCAGAGAUAUGGAGGAACACCAGUGGCGAAGGCGGCUUUCUGGUCUGUAACUGACGCUGAUGUGCGAAAGCGUGGGGAUCAAACAGGAUUAGAUACCCCCGUAGUCCCUGUCUCUUAUAU